rnacentral:rRNA from 1 species
UACGAGGGGGGCAAAUGUUGUUCGGAACCACUGGGCGUAAAGGGAGCGUAGGCGGGCUUCUAAGUUAGGUGUUUAAUCCCGGGGCCCAACCCCGGUCGUGCACUUAAAACUGGAAGUCUUGAAUAGUGGAGAGGUCAGUGGAAUUGGGGGUGUAGCGGUGGAAUGCGUAGAGAUCCCCAAGAACACCAGUUGCGAAGGCGGCUGACUGGACACAUAUUGACGCUGAGGCUCGAAAGCAUGGGGAGCAAACAGG